rnacentral:rRNA from 1 species
UACGGAGGGGGCUAGCGUUGUUCGGAAUUACUGGGCGUAAAGCGCGCGUAGGCGGCUUUGUAAGUUAGAGGUGAAAGCCCGGAGCUCAACUCCGGAACUGCCUUUAAGACUGCAUCGCUAGAAUUGUGGAGAGGUGAGUGGAAUUCCGAGUGUAGAGGUGAAAUUCGUAGAUAUUGGGAAGAACACCGGUGGCGAAGGCGGCUAUCUGGCCCGUAAUUGACGCUGAGGCGCGAAAGCGUGGGGAGCAAACAGG